AAUUGUGGUUCUGUUGACAGAUGAAAUUCUUAAAAGAUGGUGUGACUGUGGGUAUUUUUUCCCUUCCCUUUUCCAUUUCCUGUAUUUUCUUAGUUUUCAACAAUAAACAUGCUUUUUUAACUAGAGUAGGGAAAACUUUGAAGAUGAACACCUAGCAUGGCUGAAUACUGGUAGCAUUAUAAAGCAGUAUAUAAACACAAAUCAGUAAUUGCAAAGAUAAUACCAAGA